rnacentral:rRNA from 1 species
GUAGGUGGCAAGCGUUGUCCGGAAUUAUUGGGGCGUAAAGCGCGCGCAGGCGGUUCUUUAAGGCUGAUGUCGAAAGCCCACGGGCUCAACCGUGGAGGGUCAUUGGAAACUGGAGAACUUGAGUACAGAAGAGGAAAGCGGAAUUCCACGUGUAGCGGUGAAAUGCGUAGAGAUGUGGAGGAACACCAGUGGCGGAGGCGGCUUUCUGGUCUGUAACUGACGCUGAGGCGCGAAAGCGUGGGGAGCAAACAGGAUUAGAUACCCUGGUAGUCCACGCCGUAAACGAUGAGUGCUAAGUGUUAGGGGGUUUCCGCCCCUUAGUGCUGCAGCUAACGCAUUAAGCACUCCGCCUGGGGAGUACGGCCGCAAAGGCUG